rnacentral:rRNA from 1 species
UACGUAGGUGGCAAGCGUUUGUCCGGAAUUAUUGGGCGUAAAGCGCGCGCAGGCGGCCUCUUAAGUCUGAUGUGAAAGCCCCCGGCUCAGCCGGGGAGGGCCAUUGGAAACUGGGAGGCUUGAGUAUAGGAGAGAAGAGUGGAAUUCCACGUGUAGCGGUGAAAUGCGUAGAGAUGUGGAGGAACACCAGUGGCGAAGGCGACUCUUUGGCCUAUAACUGACGCUGAGGCGCGAAAGCGUGGGGAGCAAACAGG